AUUGAACGCUGGCGGCAGGCCUAACACAUGCAAGUCGAACGAGUGGCGGACGGGUGAGUAAUGUCUGGGCAACUGCCUGAUGGCGGGGGAUAACUCCUGGAAACGGUAGCUAAUACCGCAUACCAUCAGAUGUGCCCAGAUGGGAUUAGCUAGUUGGUGGGGUAACGGCUCACCAAGGCGACGAUCCCUAGCUGGUCUGAGAGGCUGACCGGGCACACGGGAACAGAGACCCGGUCCAGACUCCUAAGGGAGGCAGCAGUGGGGAAUAUUGCACAAUGGGCGCAAGCCUGAUGCAGCCAUGCCGCGGGUAUGAAGAAGGCCUUCGGGUUGUAAAGUACUUUCAGCGGGGAGGCGUUAACCGCAGAAGAAGCACCGGCUAACUCCGUGCCAGCAGCCGCGGUAAUAC
rnacentral:rRNA from 1 species